rnacentral:rRNA from 1 species
AGUGAACGCUGGCGGUAGGCCUAACACAUGCAAGUCGAACGGCAGCACAGUAAGAGCUUGCUCUUACGGGUGGCGAGUGGCGGACGGGUGAGGAAUACAUCGGAAUCUACUUUUUCGUGGGGGAUAACGUAGGGAAACUUACGCUAAUACCGCAUACGACCUACGGGUGAAAGCAGGGGAUCUUCGGACCUUGCGCGAUUGAAUGAGCCGAUGUCGGAUUAGCUAGUUGGCGGGGUAAAGGCCCACCCAGGCGACGAUCCGUAGCUGGUCUGAGAGGAUGGUCAGCCACACGGGAACGGGGACACGGUCCAGACUCCUACGGGAGGCAGCAGUGGGGAAUAUUGGACAAUGGGCGCAAGCCUGAUCCAGCCAUACCGCGUGGGUGAAGAAGGCCUUCGGGUUGUAAAGCCCUUUUGUUGGGAAAGAAAAGCAGCAGGUUAAUACCCCGCUGUUCUGACGGUACCCAAAGAAUAAGCACCGGCUAACUUCGUG